GAUGAACGCUGGCGGCGUGCCUAAUACAUGCAAGUCGAGCGAACAGAUGAGGAGCUUGCUCCUCUGACGUUAGCGGCGGACGGGUGAGUAACACGUGGAUAACCUACCUAUAAGACUGGGAUAACUUCGGGAAACCGGAGCUAAUACCGGAUAAUAAAUUGAAACGUAAGGUUCAAUAGUGAAAGAUGGAUUUGCUGUACCUUAUAGAUGGAUCCGCGCCGCAUUAGCUAGUUGGUAAGGUAACGGCUUACCAAGGCAACGAUGCGUAGCCGACCUGAGAGGGUGACCGGCCAAACUGGAACGGAGACACGGUCCAGACUCCUACGGGAGGCAGCAGUAGGGAAUCUUCCGCAAUGGGCGAAAGCCUGACGGAGCAACGCCGCGUGAGUGAGGAAGGUCUUCGGAUCUUAAAACUCUGUUAUUAGGGAAGAACAAAUGUGUAAGUAACUAUUCACGUCUUGACGGUACCUAAUCAGAAAGCCACGGCUAACUACGUG
rnacentral:rRNA from 1 species